CAGAAACUGUGAACCCAGGGAAAUCCUCUUUGUCUGGUGUUGUGGCAACUUGGAGGAGGGGAAGCGAAGAUGCAGUCAGAAAUUUCCAUGAGUGAGCUGUCAUACAGCAGCAAUGUAGAGUGUUAGAGGACAUGUCAGAACUCUGAGAUAGCUACUCAGGAAGUGUCAACAUUUCAAAGCCGUAUUCAUCAACACUAUCAUGCAAAGUAAACUCACAUUAACAGAUAUUGAAAAACAUUGAAACUUUUCAUAUUAUCUGAACUAAACAUUGUAGAAUGAAUAGAAGUACAAUUAUGA